rnacentral:misc_RNA from 1 species
AAUCAGACACAAAUUAUGUUGCAACCUCCGAAUGUGUGGUGCUGAUAAUAACUUCAUCAGUGGAGAAAAGACCCUGAUUUGGCUACAUUCUGCGUGGGAGAGUGAACAUGUGUUAUGAUUGACGUCACUAAACGCGUAAUGCCAUCAAUACCUCAAUAGAUGGUAUCCAGCUCUGUACUAAGUCUAGUUUUCUGAAAAUGAAAGUAAUGUUACACACUGGUGGAGAGAGUCAUCUACAAUUUUAAACUCAUAUUUACCAAACAGAAAUAAAAUUUAAAAGGACUCUGCAAUUGUGAGACAAAUAUGUGCCCCGAUGUGAGUGCGAAGAACUCCAACAGAUCCAAGAUCCAAGAGUUUUACGAGGGUAAAGUAAUUUUCCUAACAGGCGGAACAGGAUUCCUGGGUAAAAUACUCAUUGAUAAACUGCUCCGUACCUGUCCUACUGUUGAAACAAUCUACUUACUUAUGCGUGAAAAAAAUGGUUUGACCAUUGAAGAAAGGCUGACAAAACUGCUGGAUGAUGUGGUGUUUGCAAGGCUUAAGAAAGAGAAUCCGGAAUUUGCAAAGAGGCUCUCGGUGGUUCAUGGAGACCUUCACAUACCUAACCUAGGACUCAGCGCCAAUCAUGUAGCCUUGCUGUCCGAGACUGUGGACAUUGUGGUACACUCAGCGGCUACACUGAGGUUCGAUGAGAGACUCGGUGUUGCCAUCACGACAAACGUGGCCGGUACCAAACAGCUCUGUUUGCUUGCCCAAGAGAUGUCUAGGCUGAAGGCAUUUGUGUACGUGUCCACAGCCUUCUCUAACUGUGACUCUGUCGUUAUACCGGAGAGUGUCUGUCUACCUCCUAUCUGUCCGGAUACCUUAAUACUGCUCUCGGAGCUGCUCGAUGAAAAAAUGUUGGACAACAUCGCGCCUCUAUUGCUAGGUGCCAAGCCUAACACCUACAUCUAUACUAAGAGUGCUGCAGAGGGGCUGAUCAACAGAUUCAGUUCAACCCUGCCAGUUGCCAUACUGAGGCCUUCCAUUGUGAUAUCUACACUAUCAGAGCCGUUGCCAGGCUGGAUCAAUAAUAUACAAGGACCCACAGGAGUAGUGGCCAGUGCUUCCAUAGGAGUACUAAGAGCAAUUCUGUGCAACGAUCAUGCGGUGGCCAACCUAGUACCUGUAGACUACACAGCUAAUGCUAUCCUGGCACUGGCCUACAGUGUCGCGACCCAACAAUGGCACAACAUAAAAGUAAAGAACGGCCUGCCAGUGAUCAACUUCGUAUCGACCCAAGCCAAUAAUAUCACCUGGGGCCAGUUCGGGGAUACUAUGGAGAAGUACAUACGACUCUAUCCCUCCCUCAACCUCAUGUGGUACCCCUUCGUGCUGCGACCUCAGUCACCCUGGUUAUCUGCUGUCUACAACAUUCUCUUACAUUACCUGCCUGCUUUGGUAGUGGACUCUCUGAACACGUUGUGUGGCCGGCCAGCCAGAUCACAAGCCAUGGUACCACAGGAGUCAGUAUGGAUUUUUCUCUAGUCCCUCACCUAAUUUGAUGUGUGCAGUGGACCUGUUUUGUUUAGUGACAUGGUUACGAAUGCUUUGCGGCCGCCUCGACAAAUAUUCUCAGGUACUGAGAUACUUCUCCUGCCGGCACUUUCAGUUCCAGGAGAACAACCAGAGGCUUCUAUGGGAGAGCCUGGAGCCUCAGGAUCAAC